rnacentral:rRNA from 1 species
CCUACGGGUGGCUGCAGUGGGGAAUAUUGGACAAUGGGGGGAACCCUGAUCCAGCCAUGCCGCGUGUGUGAAGAAGGCCCUCGGAUUGUAAAGCACUUUCAGUGAGGAAGAACGCCUGGUGGUUAAUACCCAUCAGGAAAGACAUCACUCACAGAAGAAGCACCGGCUAACUCCGUGCCAGCAGCCGCGGUAAUACGGAGGGUGCGAGCGUUAAUCGGAAUUACUGGGCGUAAAGCGCGCGUAGGUGGCUUGAUAAGCCGGUUGUGAAAGCCCCGGGCUCAACCUGGGAACGGCAUCCGGAACUGUCAAGCUAGAGUGCAGGAGAGGAAGGUAGAAUUCCCGGUGUAGCGGUGAAAUGCGUAGAGAUCGGGAGGAAUACCAGUGGCGAAGGCGGCCUUAUGGACUGACACUGACACUGAGGUGCGAAAGCGUGGGUAGCAAACAGGAUUAGAUACCCUGGUAGUC